rnacentral:rRNA from 1 species
UAGGGAAUCUUCCACAAUGGGCGCAAGCCUGAUGGAGCAACACCGCGUGAGUGAAGAAGGGUUUCGGCUCGUAAAGCUCUGUUGUUAAAGAAGAACGUGGGUAAGAGUAACUGUUUACCCAGUGACGGUAUUUAACCAGGAAGCCACGGCUAACUACGUGCCAG